CGAACCGUCCCACAAUAUCUUGUAUUUUCAGCACCAAGUCAUCGAUCAGUCAGGCUUGGAUGCACUUAAAUUGAAAAUAUAAUGGUAAUCGAUAUCUGUAAAGCUACUGCAGCAACACUGAAUAAUCCAGCACCUGUGUACCUCGUUUUG